AGCUCUGUAUUCAAAAUGGCGGCAGGUGCUGAAUUUUACGUGCGAUACUAUGUUGGUCAUAAAGGCAAAUUUGGCCAUGAAUUUCUCGAAUUUGAGUUCCGUCCUGAUGGAAAAUUACGAUAUGCAAACAACUCCAACUACAAAAAUGACACAAUGAUCAGAAAAGAAGCAUUUGUACAUAAAUCUGUGCUAGAAGAGCUAAAGCGUAUCAUAGAAGACUCCGAGAUCAUGCAAGAAGAUGAUGCUUUGUGGCCAACACCUGAUAGAGUCGGUAGGCAGGAACUGGAGAUUGUGAUAGGAGAUGAACACAUAUCAUUUACCACAUCAAAAAUAGGCUCCCUUGUGGAAGUCAACCAGAGCAAGGAUCCAGAGGGUCUGAGAACUUUCUACUACCUGGUUCAAGAUCUCAAGUGUUUAGUCUUCUCUCUCAUUGGACUACAUUUUAAGAUAAAACCUAUAUAAACAUGGAGCAUAACAACAGAGACAUACAGUCAAACAAUAUGGGUAUAGAAAAAAUGACAUAAAGUCAGUACAAUCUGUGUACAGAAGAGAAGACAGUUUUGUGUUCAAGUCUGCCUCGUCAAGAUCACAUAAAAGUCAGUUGGACAACCAUGGAUAUAUUCACGGACAUUAACUUUAUUGAAUUAUUUGACAUGGAUCUUUUCUACUUCUGAGAUGUUAUAUAAUCAUUGAUAGGAGCUUCUGUUGAUACAUCUUGAUAUUUGGUUUUCUUGUAUAAAGAAAUGAUGUUCAUUUAAAUAUGAUACAGUAGACUUUUAUAAAGAACUCUGUUGUUAUCAUGUACACUAAUGCGUUUUUAUUUCUUGUAUAUACAUGUAUACUUGUAAUUUCUGGAGAUGAUAUGAACAAUAAACAUUUUAUAAGAUACUCAAAAACUUGCUUUCUAGCAAAUUGUAGAGCAAAUUUUCACAACAUUUGCCUAAAUCCUAAGAAUAUUCCUGAACGUUCUCUCAUUAAUAUUUUUAAAACAGGUUUUUCUUUCACUGUAACCUUUAGACAGAAAAUAUAGAAUGCUUGUGGUUAGUUUGAGUAUACUUAGCAAUAGACCAUAAAGUGUACCAAAGAAGUUUUAUGAAGCAAAAUAGUGAUAAAGCAAAUAGAGAUCAGGGUAAUUAUAAAAAUGGGUG
rnacentral:misc_RNA from 1 species